CGCGUAGGUGGCCAAUUAAGUCAAAUGUGAAAUCCCCGAGCUUAACUUGGGAAUUGCAUUCGAUACUGGUUGGCUAGAGUAUGGGAGAGGAUGGUAGAAUUCCAGGUGUAGCGGUGAAAUGCGUAAAGAUCUGGAGGAAUACCGAUGGCGAAGGCAGCCAUCUGGCCUAAUACUGACACUGAGGUGCGAAAGCAUGGGGAGCAAACA
rnacentral:rRNA from 1 species